CAUAAUCUCUACGGAGAAAAGCAGGGGAUCGCAAGACCUUGCGCUCUUGGAGCGGCCGAUGUCUGAUUAGCUAGUUGGUGAGGUAAAGGCUUACCAAGGCGACGAUCAGUAGCUGGUCUGAGAGGACGACCAGCCACACUGGGACUGAGACACGGCCCAGACUCCUACGGGAGGCAGCAGUGGGGAAUUUUGGACAAUGGGGGAAACCCUGAUCCAGCCAUGCCGCGUGAGUGAAGAAGGCCUUCGGGUUGUAAAGCUCUUUCAGCCGGAACGAAACGGUCACGGCUAAUACCUGUGAUCACUGACGGUACCGGAAGAAGAAG
rnacentral:rRNA from 1 species